CACCCCGUCCACUCCGAGAGGCCAUCUUAGUGCCCCGCCCACUCCAAGAGGCCAUCUUAGUGCCCCGCCCACUCCAACAUGCUCUUAGUGUCCACUUUUCAUAGGUUUCAUGAAAAAUAGUUUGUUUUUAAUUUUAGUUUUUUUAUUACACUUUAGUGUGUGUGUGUCCUUGUGCCAUGGUACACAUGUGGCGGUCAGAGGAUAACUGGCAGGAGCUGGUUCUCUCUACGAUGUGAGCUCCCGGGGAUCAAACGCAGGCCGCCAGGCUGGGCACUGGGCCCUCUUUUACCUGAUAAGCCAUCUCACUAGCCUGAAGUUCAUUUUUCAGAUUUGAGUUGCAGUGAAGCAGCUGAACGGCCGUUUGUGGAGAGCACAGGAACAAGCUAAAUCAACCUGUGGUCCCGGGGGUAGCGGUUGCCUGGGAGGAGCACUCGCGGAAAAAAACGGGGAGGGGAGCACCGGAGGCCCUGUGGGAUGCUGCAGAGGCGCUGAUCCUGGACUUGGCUUGAUAUUGCUUGCAUGUGUGCAUGUAAAGAUGAUUUCUCUGCCCAUGCACCUCUGAUGUGUACACUUCUCCGUGUGCAUGCUUCAGCUGAAAACAGAAGUAUUUAGGAACCAGGAGGCCCAGGCGUCACUUCCAGCGCUAAAGGUGACUAGCUGUUUGAUUGACUGGAAACUCCUGGAUGAUGGUCACAAGAACGUUUUGAGGCAGCCUGAGCUCAUCCAUCUGUCAGGAGUACUGUCUCUGGAAUGAAACUUGGAUGGUCUACAGAGCCAAGCAAAUAAAGCAACAACAUUUCGCUUUGCUCGAUCACUAUUCAAACACCAGAAUAUAACCAAGUGGAUACUCUCAUGAGGCUGUGCAUCCUUGUAGCUGUGCGUGUGAACAACAACACAGGGAAUGCUCCACCCAGUGCCUGGCAUGCACAGGAACUCGGCUGAAUGAGGAUGACUUUGAACCUCUGCUCCUCCUGCAUCUGUCUACCCAGAGCUGGGGUAUGUGUCACUGUGGCCCAUUCUAUACGAUGCUAGCUGGACAGAACCAACGGCCUCACGAGUGCUACCCCAGCAUUCUACCUACCACUGACCUACCUUCCCAGCCCGACGGAUUCCUCAGUCUUUGCUCAGACACAUAGAGCAGCAGCCCCAUACCUUGAACUUGGAUUUUUGCCAUUUCAUUAAGCUCUGAGACCAGUGUUGUAGGGGUUCAGGGAAUGGAGAUUAAAGCUGAUUAAAGCUGUAUAGUGAGUGGUACUGGUGGUGGGGUUCUCAGCUGAGUCUUAGAAAAGGCAGCG